UGAGGCUUGGGUAGCCUAGGGUGUUUUUCUCUCGUGGUGAAUCGGGCUCGGUGUUCCCUACUAGGCUGCUUUUCCUUCAUGUUUUCUGCCACUAGGCUGCUUUUCCUUCAUGUUUUUUGCCCUCUCUGUGAAAUAGUUUUAGAGACUCUAUGAGCUAGUUACAUUGGUGUUGCCUUCUUCAGAAAAACUCUGGUGGCACUAUUUCACUGUGAAGCACUUUGGAAGUGACUCGAGUUCAGAAGACAGCAGGUGGAUUCUAAGCUCCCUUCCAAGCACUGGAGGAAAAAAAAGGCCUCAAAAGCCCAAGUGCACACAGGUCAGCCUGACAUUGAAGAAUGUUCUUAAGUAUUUGGAAGAUUGAAAAAUGGGCUGUGUGAAAAAGGUGCCUUAAUGUGAAUGCAGAUUUUGCCUUGUGGUCAAAAGCAGUAUGAAGAAAGUCUGUCAUCUUCCCAUCAGGCCUGGGUUUCAGCUGGGUACUGCUUCCUGAAGAGGUCCAGCAACUUGAAGAGAAUUGAUCUUCCUCCCAAGCUCUAUGAACCAGAGUCUCAGCUAUCAGGGGUAAGCAUCUUUCUGUG